rnacentral:rRNA from 1 species
AUAUUGCACAAUGGGGGAAACGCUGAUGCAGCGACGCCGCGUGAGCGAAGAAGCAUUUCGGUCUGUAAUGCCCUAUCAGCAGGGUAGAAAAUGACGGUUCCUGACUAAGAAGCUCCGGCCAACUACGUGCCAGCACCCGCGGUAAUACGUAGGGGGCAAGCGUUAGCCGGAUUUACUGGGUGUAAAGGGAGCGUAGGUGGCGAGUCAAGUCAGAUGUGAAAGCCCGGGGCUCAACCCAGGGAUUGCAUUUGAAACAGGUUUGCUAGAGUGCAGGAGAGGUAAGUGGAAUGCCUAGUGUAGCGGUGAAAUGCGUAGAUAUUAGGAGGAACACCAGUGGCGAAGGCGGCUUACUGGACUGUAACUGACACUGAGGCUCGAAAGCGUGGGGAGCAAACA